rnacentral:rRNA from 1 species
GAUAGAGGCCUACCAUGGUGGUAACGGGUAACGGGGUGUUAGGGCACGACACCGGAGAGGGAGCCUGAGAAACGGCUACCACAUCCAAGGAUGGCAGCAGGCGCGCAAAUUACCCAAUCCCGACACGGGGAGGUAGUGACAAUAAAUAACAAUACGGGGUUCUUUAGGAUCUCGUAAUUGGAAUGAGUACAAUUUAAAUCUCUUAACGAGGAACAAUUGGAGGGCAAGUCUGGUGCCAGCAGCCGCGGUAAUUCCAGCUCCAAUAGCGUAUAUUAAAGUUGUUGCAGUUAAAAAGCUCGUGGUUGAAUUUCGGGGUUAGUAGGUUGGUCAUGCCUCUGGUAUGUACUGGUCUCACUGAUUCCUCCUUCCUUAUGAACCGUAAUGCCAUUAAUUUGGUGUUGCGGGGAAUUUGGACUGUUACUUUGAAAAAAUUAGAGUGUUUAAAGCAAGCUAACGCUUGAAUACAUUAGCAUGGAAUAAUGAAAUAGGACGUUCGAUCUUAUUUUGUUGGUUUCUAGGAUUGACGUAAUGAUUAAUAGGGAUAGUUGGGGGCAUUAGUAUUCAAUUGUCAGAGGUGAAAUUCUUGGAUUUAUUGAAGACUAACUACCGCGAAAGCAUUUGCCAAGGAUGUUUUCAUUAAUCAAGAACGAAAAUUAGGGGAUCGAAGACGAUCAGAUACCGUCGUAGUCUUAACCAUAAACUAUGCCGACUAGGGAUCGGAUGA